rnacentral:rRNA from 1 species
GGGGAAUUUUGGACAAUGGGCGCAAGCCUGAUCCAGCAAUGCCGCGUGCAGGACGAAGGCCUUCGGGUUGUAAACUGCUUUUGUACGGAGCGAAAAGGCUCUCUCUAAUACAGGGAGUUCAUGACGGUACCGUAAGAAUAAGCACCGGCUAACUACGUGCCAGCAGCCGCGGUAAUACGUAGGGUGCAAGCGUUAAUCGGAAUUACUGGGCGUAAAGCGUGCGCAGGCGGUUAUGUAAGACAGAGGUGAAAUCCCCGGGCUCAACCUGGGAACUGCCUUUGUGACUGCAUAGCUAGAGUACGGCAGAGGGGGAUGGAAUUCCGCGUGUAGCAGUGAAAUGCGUAGAUAUGCGGAGGAACACCGAUGGCGAAGGCAAUCCCCUGGGCCUGUACUGACGCUCAUGCACGAAAGCGUGGGGAGCAAAC